rnacentral:lncRNA from 1 species
GCUGAAGCGAUCCUCCCACCUCAACCUCCCACGUGGCUGAGACUACAGGUGCUUGCCACUAUGCCCAACUAAUAUUUGGAAUUUUCGUAUACGUGGAUUCCAGAGGGGUGACAGCAAAACGUGGGAACAUCCAGUUGCAGGAAAACAAGCUUAACACGCCCACUGAUUCUACAUUAUGCUCCUACCUCCCGGCAGCCUCUCCAGGCCGAGAACUUUCUCCAGUCAGCCUCUACAGACCAAGCUCAUGACUCACAAUGGCCUAUUUAGGCCCAUACCCUACGUCACGGCAGCCUCCGCAGAUGAGCCUACUGCCUCACAACAGCCUCCACAGGCACAGCUCCAUCGUUACAAUGGCCUCUUUAGACCCAGCUCCUGCCUCCCAGCCUUCUCUCCAGGCUCUGAACUUUCUCAGGUCUCCCUCUGUUGUCCAAGGCUGGAGUGUAGUAGUGCUAUCGCAGC